rnacentral:lncRNA from 1 species
UGUGAUGCACCAAGCUAGCUAGAGAUCAGUUUAAAUAUCUAUCAGAAUUUGGAAGUGAUGGAAAACAAGGUCUCAAUUGGACGGGACGAGGGACCAUUCAUAUUCGGCUUCAAUACUCAGAGGAUUAAAAGUACACAAAAAAGAUAAAAACCCAUUUGCGCAUUUUUCAACAAGUUGAGUGUUUAUUUUUAGAACUCGUUCUGCUGGCUAGGCUAAGCAGCGUGAGGACGUAGCCUAGUGCUCCUCGAUCGUUCCAUGAGGUGACCUCAAAUAACUUGUUCGCUCGAUUUGACCACACGGCAGUGUGAUCACGAAAUUAGUACCGGUAUUAAUUCCACUACGACUCUCGCGAGAAUAUAGGUUGAAAACCUGGUCGUCAGAUGGACAGCCAACUAGCUAGCUGCUUCCGUAAUGCCAUAGGUUGGCGUUGAUCUUAACAUCACGCACGUGUCGCUCUAAGUCUAAGUGUCCACUGCAUUCGUCGAAAAAGAAAAGGAAAAAAACACCCAUCCACACCAAAAGUUCAAGACCUGACAUUGGUGUCACAUCUUCUUAAAUUAUUUUAGUAUUUAACCGGGAUGUUUUUCAGUGAUAGGUGACGUAUCCUCAACAGCGAGGCGUUUGCGGUGACUUCGUCAAUUUCUUAAGAUCUGC